GAGCUAGCACAAGAGGCCAACCUGCAUGGACUGCUUCCACAGAUCCCUUGUCCUCUGACUUACAGUUGAAUUCACCAAAUAGAAGACAUUGGAAAUGAGACCCGAGGGUUGGAGGAGGAGGAAGCCUGCAAUGUGAACACGAUGGCUGGAGCUCCGGCAGCCAUUCUGGACCAGGAGGUAGCCUUGAAGAUGGAAGCCACAUGUUGGGAUGGUGAAUCCAAAAGAUGAGGAGCCUGUAUCCCCUGUGACACCAGAACUGCCAUACCAGCCCUGGGUUCCUCCAUCUAUACUGCCUUCAUAUGGUAAAGAAAUAUUCUUGGAUCUUGUUAGGUGUCUGUUGCAGCCAAACACAAUCCCAACUGAUAUUCACUGUAAAUGAUUCCAUGGC
rnacentral:lncRNA from 1 species